CUGCUUUCGGUUGUACAAAGAGCAUCAAUGUAUCAUCAUAAAAUCUUCUUGAGGAAGCCCUGGUGAUUAGAUUAUUAUUAGUACCUCUCAGUUCUCACCACCAGUUGAAGAAAUCUGCUCGAUUUAUUGGUAAGUAUAUUUCAAUUUCUCUUCUAUUUCACACACACUUGAUAUGUGCGCCUUUUAGAGUAUUUCAAUACGUAAUAGUUUUUCAAUUGAAAUGUGCUGGAAAUGCCACUAAAAUCAUGGCCAUUACAAUAAAAUUCCUGGAGACAGCAUUGUAUAGGAUUUCUAGAUUUCCUCUUUUUGUUGAACUACACAGUUUCUCGUUUUUCUUUAGUCUCCCAGUUAUGUUAUCCUUUUUAUUAUUUAUUAUUUUUUUUAUAUUUUAAGAAGUCAGGGAAAAAAAAAAAAAGACACUGCAUUUGCUUUCAACGAAGUAGAUGAAAGAUUGUCAUUUUCGUUGUUGUCUCCGUACAUUUGCUUUCUUGUUUCGCAUCUUUUGUCUUUCCCUCUCCUCCUCCAUUCUUCUUUCCUCAAGGAUGCUUCAGUGCUGUUUCCUACAAUGAAAGUUGGAAAUUGUAAUUUCAAUAGAUAGGUUAAACGUUGUAUAAAAGAAGCACUUGCAUUGAUAAUUAUUAUUUCAUGACCAAACUGCAGUUACCAUUCAGCCAUAUGGGAAAGACAAUUCAGGUAUCUGGCUUCCCUUCUCUUGUUGCUGCCGAAACCAUUAAGACAUUCUUGGAGCGAGACACGGGUCCAGGAUCAGUAGUUGCCUUAGAUGUAAAUCAGUGCAAAGGAAAGCAUGGAAGAGCAUAUGCCAAAGUUCAAUUUGAGAAUAGCUCACACGCUGAUAAAAUUUUCAGUUUGGCAAGAGCAC
rnacentral:lncRNA from 1 species